rnacentral:rRNA from 1 species
CAGGGAUUGCCUUAGUAACUGCGAGUGAAGCGGCAAGAGCUCAAAUUUGAAAUCUGGCACCUUCGGUGUCCGAGUUGUAAUUUGUAGAAGCAUCUUUUGGAUUGGUCCUUGCAUAUGUUCCUUGGAACAGGACAUCAUAGAGGGUGAGAAUCCCGUUCAUGGUGGGGAAUCCAAUUCUUUGUAAAGUGCUUUCGAAGAGUCGAGUUGUUUGGGAAUGCAGCUCUAAGUGGGUGGUAAAUUCCAUCUAAAGCUAAAUAUUGGCGAGAGACCGAUAGCGAACAAGUACAGUGAUGGAAAGAUGAAAAGAACUCCGAAAGGAGAGUGAAAAAGGACGUGAAAUUGUUGAAAGGGAAGUGCUUGAGAUCAGUCUUAAGGUUUAGUGAUCAGUCUUCCUUUUGGUUGGUGCACUCACUAUUUCUUAGGCCAACAUCAGUUUUCGCGGCAGGAUAAUGACAUUGGAAUGUGGCUCUUUCGGGAGUGUUAUAGCCUUUGUUGAUACUGCCUGCUUAGACUGAGGACCGCGCUUUUGCUAGGAUGUUGGCAUAAUGAUCUUAAGCAGC